AAGAUGAAGCUCAAGGUGCACAUAGUUACACACCUCAUAAGAAGUAUCAGGUUGAUGAUUACGAGGAUGUGGAAGGAGCAAAAGGCUACACCCCUGAGUCAAUGAACAAGGGUAUUACCAUGGAUGAUGAGGUCUUCAAGAAAGGAUGGUACGUUGUGUCCCCUGGAGCCACUGAAGAUGAAGAUCUCAGUGGAAUGGAAGAUUGCAAACCU